AUUCUAUAUUCACAAUAGUAUUUAGUAGCGACUAUUUAAUCUUAUUCAUCAUCCUCAGAUACAUCUAAUAGUUCUACACAAAUAAUUCUUAUGAUACAGAAAACAAUGAAGAAUCAAAUUAUGCCCACUUCUCUUAUAAUUUUGUUUGUUGUUCUCUCCUUUGCCUCUGAUGGUGGAUUAUUAGUAGAGGCACAACUAUGGACAUGUCACAAGCUAAUACCCUUUCCAAAUUGCACUUUCGAAAGUUGUCGUUCACACUGUCGUUUCGUGUAUUCAAGUCCCGUAUCGAUUCCAAGAGGCUCUUGCAAUGAUAACAACACAAAAUGCUUGUGUACUUACACACGGCUCGACCCAGGUUGCCAUUCAGAAGAUCAUUUGAUUUAAUUUGCCAUAAUCAUUAUCAUGCGUUUCGCGGCCCUUCAUAUAUUGUAAAAAAAACUUUUAAAUUUAUCGGAAUAUAU